GAAUCCCAACCGCAAACUGGUGGUUGCAAAGGAGCCUUUCCUCCACCAUCUCUCACCCUCAGCUCCUCUAUCGGAUAUAGCAGCCAGCAGAGCUGUUACACCUGUUCUCAUUCUCCACCUCCUAGACACAGAGUAUAAUUUCACUGCCUUUUUUCACUGGAACACAGGCAGGUCAUAUGCCUUGCAUUGGCCAGUGGGGAGUGAGUGAAAGUGCUUGCAUCAUCUCCGGCCGAUCCAUUUACUUCUCAGUGCCAGACAGAGCAGCACCCCUGAUCCCUAGCAUAGUGGUCCUGGAACCAUAACUGGUGAUGAAGCGUCUGUCGGCCUGGAGCCCUCAGCAAUUUCAAGGAGCAGAGCCCCCACUACACACACACUGGACAGAUAAUGCAAAUGACGGAACAAUAUUCAGUGCUAGAAAGAAGUGAGCUACCAAUCAUGGAAAGACACAGAGAGCCUUAAACACAUAUUACUAAGUGAGAGAAGCCAAUCUGAAAAGGCUACAUACUGUAUGAUUCCAGUUAUAUGAGAUUUUGAAAAAGGCAAAACUAUGGACACCACGAAAAGGUCAGUGUGUUCUAGGGGUUGGGGGCGGGAGGGAUAAACAGGCAGAACACAAAGAAAUUUUGGGGCACUGAAACUAUUCUGCACAGUAGUGCAAUGGUGGAGGCAUAUCAGUGUACGUGUCAAACCCCAUAGAAUGUACAGUACCAAGAAGGUAAACUAUAGACUUUGGUGAUAAUGAUGUGUCCAUAAUAACAAAUGUACUGCUCUGGUGGGAGAUGUUGAUGGUAAGGAUGAUUGUGCAUGUGUGGGGUCUAUGGGAACUUUUUGCACCUUACUCAAUUUUGCUGUGAACUUAAAACUGCUCUAAAAAGUCAAGUCUACUGAAAUAACAACAGUAACAUUCUCUUUCAUGCUUCUGGAGGAGACGAUACCUUCUUGGGAGCGAGUCUGAGGGGUGGUGAAGCUGAGCACUCCAGUUCUCUUACGGGGGGAGCCUGUAGUGUGAAAUGAGACACUAGGGUCCAGUGGUGGCCACGAUGGUGAAGAACAAGUGGGGUAACCUCCCAGUAGGGGGAGGGAGGUGCUCAGAGUCAAG